rnacentral:tRNA from 1 species
AAAUAAGAAGCAAUUUGCAUUUAAUUUCGAAUUAAAAGAUAGAGUUAAAAACUCCUUAUUUA